GACAGCACGAAACAAAUGGACAUCUAAAUAGGAGGGGGUUCCAGGCGCCAUAGAGCAAAGAGGAAAGUCUUUCCAGGUACAGCAACCAAGAAUUAUCUUGUGCUUCUCUUGAUGGAUUUGCCAUGGUAACACAAACGUACAGAAAGCAUCUGAAAUCCUGUCUUUGUUAUCUACAACUGAGAUCUCACUGGUCACAAAGAAAAUUCAUCUAUGCCAAGAGGACACUGAGAUUACCCACGACCACCUCUUGAUGCCUGAGCACAGCUACGUAUUUGAAAAGAUUUUUCAGUUGUACUGGAUCUUUGAAAGCUGGCAGGAUGAAUUUCUAGGUUUCCAGUCUUUAACGUUUAUCUCCCCUUGGAUCUCACCAUCUGCUCCUAU
rnacentral:lncRNA from 1 species